CAGAUCAACGCUUCCAAUCGAGGAGAAACUUAUUUACGGAGAGAGAGAGAGAGAGGAGAUAUGGUAGGCGGCGGAGAUGACGGACGCGGCGGAGCUGCUGGUAGUCGUGGUGGUAACAAAGCGGAGGCGGAUCGGUUGCUCGUAACAUCGGAGAAGCUUCUAUCGUCUAGUGACUUCCAAGGAGCCAAGGCAUCAGCGAUCCGCGCAUGCAAAUCCGACCCGACCCUAGCGGAAGCGGCGGACUCCAUCCUCACAAUCUGCGACGUUCUCAUAGCCAGCGAGAUUCGUUUAGGCAACUCAAAAUUACCUGACUGGUACGCCGCGCUGCGACUCGGUCGGUUAGCUCAGAACCCCGAACACGUCGCGACUCAGUACCGUAGGCUCGCUCUUCUCCUCAAUCCGUCGGUUAAUCGCUUUCCGUUAGCCGAUCAGGCGUUUAAGGUCGUCUCCGAUGCUUGGCACGUGCUCUCCGAUCCCUCGAGGAAGUCGCUGUACGACCAAGAGGUUCAACUGAGUCAACUCGUCCAACCGCAGCAGAAGCAACGUUUCAUAUGGAAACCUAGCCAAAGCACCACCAAAGUAGUAGCAGUAUCACAACAUCCGCCUUCUGUUGCUCCGCCAGCUACAUCCACCGUUGGAUAUCCGCAGCGGAGGAGCGAUCCUACGGCGACGAGCUUCUGGACUGCUUGUCCGUACUGUUUUGUGCUCUUUGAGUACCCUAAGGCUUACGAGGAAUGCGUCUUGAGGUGCCAAGAUUGUAGAAGAGCGUUUCAAGCUGUGACGAUACAGAAACCUCCUGUGGAAGGGAAAGGUGAAGAUGUUUACUUCUGCUCGUGGAGCGUAUUCCCGCUGGGGUUUUCUGGAGAGUUUAAAGCUCCGAGCUGGUCACCUAUUUCACCUCUUAUUGCAUGCCCUCUGCAAAUGGUGGAUGAUGAACGGACCACCAAGAAGAGAAAGGAACCGGCUCCUCCAAGAUUUUUCUAUGACGACGAUGACAUAUAUGUUGCGAUUUCAGAAGAUGAUCAUGAGGAAAAUGAGCCUAGUGAUGAUUGUCAAGAUGAGUUACAAGCGAAGAAUGCUGGGAAAGGGAAAGAAAAACUUGUGAGAAGUAAUAAGAAACGUGGAGCAGAUAAGGCUGGGAAGGGAAUCCAACAUGUAGAAAGUAUCGGUGGUGCUAGCAAUCAUGCGGCUUCAAUUGCUUCGUAUGUUACUCCUGUUGGCUCCGCGUCUAUGUCUAAACCAAUGAGUAGUAAAAAAAGAACUGGAACUGGAGCGAAGAACCUAGGAAGGUUGGAUUUGAAUGUGGAGUUCAGUAAUGAAGUGGAAGAACCUGCUGUGGCAGGCGGGAGAAAUGAAGGCAAUGGGCUCGGAAGUAAUAGGGAGGUGGAUAAUAUGGAAGGGAUUGGGUUCUUUGAGGACCUUGAUGAAUUCUUGAGUAGUUUGCCGAUAUUUUCUGUCGAUGGGGAUGAUAAGAUCAAGGCUACUUAGUGAAGUUUGCAGCUUCGAUCACACCGAAGUUUUCGUAACCCUUUGACAAGAAUUUCUAGCCAAGGUCUAUGGUAAAGACGUAAAUGGCUUUGUAGAGACUCUUCUUUUGUAGUCGCUGUAGGCAUUCUUACAAAUGUUAGAGUUUUCACUUACCUGUAAGCUCUAACGAGAGUCUGCAAGAAGAUGCCAUAACCAAUGCGUUGAUAGUCGUCG